AGCAUAUCAAUAAGCGGAGGAAAAGAAACCAACAGGGAUUGCCCUAGUAACGGCGAGUGAAGCGGCAACAGCUCAAAUUUGAAAUCUGGCUCCUUCGGGGUCCCGAGUUGUAAUUUGUAGAGGAUGUUUCGGGUGCGGUCCCGGUCUAAGUCCCUUGGAACAGGGCGUCAUAGAGGGUGAGAAUCCCGUAUGUGACCGGCGGCCAACCCCAUGUGAAGCUCCUUCGACGAGUCGAGUUGUUUGGGAAUGCAGCUCAAAAUGGGUGGUAAAUUUCAUCUAAAGCUAAAUACCGGCCAGAGACCGAUAGCGCACAAGUAGAGUGAUCGAAAGAUGAAAAGCACUUUGGAAAGAGAGUCAAAAAGUACGUGAAAUUGUUGAAAGGGAAGCGCUUGCAACCAGACCUGUCCGCGGGCAAUCAACCUCCGUUCUCGGGGGUGCACUUGUUCGUGAUCAGGCCAGCAUCGGUUCGGGCGGUCGGAUAAAGGCCUUGGGAAUGUGGCUCCCUUCGGGGAGUGUUAUAGCCCUCGGUGCAAUGCGGCCAGCCUGGACCGAGGACCGCGCUUCGGCUAGGAUGCUGGCGUAAUGGUUGUAAGCGGCCCGU
rnacentral:rRNA from 1 species